AAAUUGAAGAGUUUGAUCAUGGCUCAGAUUGAACGCUGGCGGCAGGCCUAACACAUGCAAGUCGAACGGUAACAGGAAACAGCUUGCUGUUUCGCUGACGAGUGGCGGACGGGUGAGUAAUGUCUGGGAAACUGCCUGAUGGAGGGGGAUAACUACUGGAAACGGUAGCUAAUACCGCAUAACGUCGCAAGACCAAAGAGGGGGACCUUCGGGCCUCUUGCCAUCGGAUGUGCCCAGAUGGGAUUAGCUAGUAGGUGGGGUAACGGCUCACCUAGGCGACGAUCCCUAGCUGGUCUGAGAGGAUGACCAGCCACACUGGAACUGAGACACGGUCCAGACUCCUACGGGAGGCAGCAGUGGGGAAUAUUGCACAAUGGGCGCAAGCCUGAUGCAGCCAUGCCGCGUGUAUGAAGAAGGCCUUCGGGUUGUAAAGUACUUUCAGCGGGGAGGAAGGGAGUAAAGUUAAUACCUUUGCUCAUUGACGUUACCCGCAGAAGAAGCACCGGCUAACUCCGUGCCAGCAGCCGCGGUAAUACGGAGGGUGCAAGCGUUAAUCGGAAUUACUGGGCGUAAAGCGCACGCAGGCGGUUUGUUAAGUCAGAUGUGAAAUCCCCGGGCUCAACCUGGGAACUGCAUCUGAUACUGGCAAGCUUGAGUCUCGUAGAGGGGGGGUAGAAUUCCAGGUGUAGCGGUGAAAUGCGUAGAGAUCUGGAGGAAUACCGGUGGCGAAGGCGGCCCCCUGGACGAAGACUGACGCUCAGGUGCGAAAGCGUGGGGGAGCAAACAGGAUUAGAUACCCUGGUAGUCCACGCCGUAAACGAUGUCGACUUGGAGGUUGUGCCCUUGAGGCGUGGCUUCCGGAGCUAACGCGUUAAGUCGACCGCCUGGGGAGUACGGCCGCAAGGUUAAAACUCAAAUGAAUUGACGGGGGCCCGCACAAGCGGUGGAGCAUGUGGUUUAAUUCGAUGCAACGCGAAGAACCUUACCUGGUCUUGACAUCCACAGAACUUUCCAGAGAUGGAUUGGUGCCUUCGGGAACUGUGAGACAGGUGCUGCAUGGCUGUCGUCAGCUCGUGUUGUGAAAUGUUGGGUUAAGUCCCGCAACGAGCGCAACCCUUAUCCUUUGUUGCCAGCGGUCCGGCCGGGAACUCAAAGGAGACUGCCAGUGAUAAACUGGAGGAAGGUGGGGAUGACGUCAAGUCAUCAUGGCCCUUACGACCAGGGCUACACACGUGCUACAAUGGCGCAUACAAAGAGAAGCGACCUCGCGAGAGCAAGCGGACCUCAUAAAGUGCGUCGUAGUCCGGAUUGGAGUCUGCAACUCGACUCCAUGAAGUCGGAAUCGCUAGUAAUCGUGGAUCAGAAUGCCACGGUGAAUACGUUCCCGGGCCUUGUACACACCGCCCGUCACACCAUGGGAGUGGGUUGCAAAAGAAGUAGGUAGCUUAACCUUCGGGAGGGCGCUUACCACUUUGUGAUUCAUGACUGGGGUGAAGUCGUAACAAGGUAACCGUAGGGGAACCUGCGGUUGGAUCACCUCCUUA
rnacentral:rRNA from 1 species